rnacentral:ncRNA from 12 species
UUGGAUCAGGUCUGUGGUUGCAAGUCGACGCCAGUCGCAGGCGAAACGAUCCACGUAAGCAGGGCAAAGUCCCUGUGAGCAUGGUGCGGCUUAGAAGUAAGUCCGGCCAGCCUUGCGCUGAGAGGGUCAGUAGUGGGAGGGCAAACGCCCCAUGAGCGAACGCCCCGGCCGGCGAGUGUGGGGGCAAAGACCAGGUCAGCUGAAUGCCAA